GAGGACUCCCACUGGCGGUAGGCUGCACAAGGCUCACUACUGUGGCGGUAUAAUAGGUUCUAAUAUCAGGUAGUGUAAGGCCUCCCACUUUGUUCUUUUUCAGUAAUGCCUUACUUAUCCGGGGCCUCUUUCCCUUCGAUAUGAAGUUGGUGAUUUGUUUCUCCAUCUCAUUAAAGAAUGCCAUUGGAAUUUGGAUCGGAAUUGCAUUAAAUGUAUAGAUCGCUUUUGGUAGAACAGACAUUUUUAUAAUGUUAAGUCUUCCUAUCCAUGAGCAAGGUAUGUUUUCCACUUAUAUAGGUCUCUUUUGGUUUCUUGCAAAAGUGUUUUGUAGUUUUCUUUGUGUAAGCCUUUUACAUCUCUGGUAAGAUUUAUUCCUAAGUAUUUUAUCUUCUUGGGGGCUACUCUAAAUGGUAUUGAUUUGGUGAUUUCCUCUUCGAUGUUCUUUUUGUUGGUGUAGAGGAAUCCAACUGAGUUUUGUGUUUAUCUUCUAUCCUGAUACUCUGCUGAACUCUUCUGUUAGUUUCAGUAGUUUUCUUGAGGAUUCCUUAGGGUUUUCUGUGUAUAAGAGGAUCAUGUCAUCUGCAAAUAGAGAUAAUUUUUCUUCUUCCUUGCCAAUCUGGAUGCCCUUUAUUUCUUUAUCUAGCCUAAUUGCUCUGGCUAGGACCUCCAGCACAAGGUUGAAUAAGAGUGGUGAUAAAGGGCAUCUUUGUCUGGUUCCUGAUCUCAAGUGGAAUGCUUUCAGUCUCUCUCCAUUUAGGAUGAUAUUUGCUAUUGGCUUUGUAUAAAUGCCCUUUAUUAUAUUGAGGAAUUUUCCUUCUAUUCCUAUUUUGUUGAGAGUUUUUAUCAUGAAUGGGUGUUGAACUUUGUCAAAUGCCUUUUCUGUAUCAAUUGAUAAAAUCAUGUGAUUCUUGUCUUUUAUUUAUAUGAUGGAUUACAUUAAUUGGUUUUCUAAUGUUGAACCAUCCCUGCAUACCUGGUAUGAAUCCCACUUGGUCAUGGUGAAUUACUUUUUCGAUACAUUGUUGAAUUCUAUUGGCUAGAAUUUUUUUUGAGGGUUUUUGCAUCUAAGUUCAUGAAGGAUAAAACCCAGUGCCGUCGAGUCGAUUCCGUCUCAUAGCAACCCUAUAGGACAGAGUAGAACUGCCCCAUAGAGUUUCUAAGGAGUGCCUGGUGGGUUCAAACUGCUGACCUCUUUGUUAACAGCCGUAGCACUUAACUACUACGCCACCAGGGUUUCCUCAUAAAGGAUAUAGGUCUGUAAUUUUCUUUUUUAGUGGUGUCUUUACCUGGUUUUGGUAUCAGGGAUAUGGUGGCUUCACAGAAUGAGUUCGUGAGUACUCUGUCCUUUUCUAUGCUCUGAAAUACCUUUAGUAGUAGUGGUGUUAACGCUUCCCUGAAAAUUUGGUAGAACUCUGCAGUGAAGCCAUCUGGAUCAAGGGUUUUUUUGGUUGGGAGUUUUUUGAUUACCUUUUCAAUUUCUCCUGUGUUAUGGGUCUCUAGUUGUUCUACCUCUGUUUGUGUUAGUUUAGGUAGGUAGUGAGUGUGUUUCUAGGAAUUCAUCCAUUUCUUCUAGGUUUUCAAAUUUUUUAAUUUUUAGAGUACAAUUUUACAUAGUAAUCUGAUAUGAUUCUUUUAAUUUCAGUUGGUUCUGUUGUGAUAUCACCCAUCUCAUUUCUUAUUUGGGUUAUUUGCUUCCUCUCCUGUUUUUCUUUGUCAGUUUGGCCAACGGGUUACCAAUUUUGUUAAUUUCUUCAAUGAAGCAACUUUUGGUAUUGUUAACUCUUUCAAUUAUUUUUUCUGUUUCAUUUAAUUCUGAUCUAAUUUUUAUUAUUUACUUUCUUCUAGUGCCUGAGUGUUUCUUUUGCUGCUCUCCUUCUAUUUGUUUAAGUUGUAGGGAUAAUUCUUUGACUUUUGUCCUUUCUUCUUUCUGUAUGUGUACAUUUAUUGAUAUAAAUUGACCUCUGAGCACUGCUUUUGCUGUGUCCCAAAGGUUCUGAUAGGAAGCGUUUUCAUUCUCAUUGGAUUCUGUGAAUUUCUUUAUUCCAUCCUUAAUGUCUUCUAUAAUCCAGUCUUUUCUGAGCAGGGUAUUGUUCAGUUUCCAAGUGUUUGAUUUCUUUUCCCUGCUUUUCCUGUUAUUGAUUUCUACUUUUACGGCCUUAUGGUCAGAGAAGAUGCUUUGUAAUAUUUCAAUGUUUUGGAUUCUGCUAAGGUUUGCUUUAUGACGUGAUAUGUGGUCUAUUCUAGAGAAUGUUCCAUGUGCACUAGAAAGGAAAGUAUAUUUGGCUGCUUUUGGGUGGAGUGUUCAGUAUAUGUCUAUGAAGUUAAGUUGGUUGAUUGCAGCAUUUAGAUCUUCUGUGUCUUUAUUGAGCUUCUUUCUGGAUGUCCUGUCCUUCACUGAAAGUGGUGUGUUGAAGUCUCCUAUUAUUGUGGAGCUGUCUAUCUCACUUUUCAAUGCUGAUAGAGUUUAUUUAUCUUGCAGCCCUGUCAUUGGGUGCAUAAAUAUUUAAUAUGGUUAUAUCUUGUUGGUGUAUUGUCCCUUUAAUCAUUAUAGAGUGUCCUUCCUUAUCCUUUUUGAUGGAUUUAACUUUAAAGUCUAUUUUGUCAGAAAUUAAUAUUGCCACUCUUUCUCUUUUCUGGUUGUUGUUUGCUUGAUAUAUUUUUUUCCAUCCUUUAGUUUGUUUGUGUCUCUAAAUCUAAGGUGUGUCUCUUGUAGGCAGCAUAUAGAUGGAUCUUGUUUUUUAAUCCAUUCUGCCACUCUCUGUCUCUUUAUUGGUGCAUUUAGUCCAUUUACAUUCAGUGUAAUUAUGGAUAGGUAUGAAUUCAGUGCUGUCAUUUUGAUGUCUUUUUCUGUGUGUUGUUUUCUUUUUCUCACUUAAUUUUAUGCGCUGAGUAGCUUAUCUUUAUGUAUUGUCCUGUCCUCAUAAUCUUUGUUGAAUUUGUUUCUGCUGCGUCUCUAUUUUUUCCUUGUAUUUUAUUUUGAUGUGUAGGAUAGUUUGUCUCCUUUGUGGUUACCUUGUUAUUUAGCCGUAUUUUUCUAAGUUUAAACCUGACUUUCAUUUUUUUGUAUCGCCUUAUCUUCCUCUCCAUAUGGAAGAUAUAUGACUACAUUUCUUAGUCCCUUUUUAUUGUUUUAAUGUUAUCGUUUAUAUAAUAACAUCGCUGUUACCCCAUUUUGAGCAUUUUUUUUAAAUCUUGGUUUGUUUUUUGAUUUCCCUGUCUGAGUUGACUUCUGAUUGCUCUGCCCAGUGUUCUAGUCUUGGGUUGUUAGCUGAUAUUAUUGAUUUUCUUACCAAAGAACUCCCUUUAGUAUUUCUUGUAGUUUUGGUUUGGUUUCUAUGAAUUCCCUAAACUUCUGUUUAUCUGGAAAUGUCCUAAUUUCACCUUCAUAUUCAAGAGACAGUUUAGCUGGAUAUAUGAUUCUUGGCUGGCAAUUUUUUUCCUUCAGUUUUUUAAAUAAGUCAUCCCAUUGCCUUCUUGCCUGCAUGGUUUCUGGCAAGUAGUCUGAACUUAUUGGCUCUCCUUUGUAGGUGACUUUUCGUUUAUCCCUAGCUGCUCUCAAAAUUCUCUCUUUAUCUUUGGUUUUGGCAAGUUUGAUUAUAAUAUGUCUUGGUGACUUUCUUUUAACAUCUGCCUUACGUGGAGUUCGAUGAGCAUCUUGGAUAGAUAUCUUCUCGUCUUUCACUAUAUCAGGAAAGUUUUCUGCCAACAGAUCUUCAAAAAUUCUCUCUGUAUUUUCUGUUAUCCCUCCCUGUUCUGGUACUGCAGUCACUCAUAGGUUCUCUUGAUAGAUUCCCACAUGAUUCUUAAGGUUUCUUCAUUUUUUUAAUUCUUUUAUCCAAUUUUUCUUCAAAUAUAUUAGUGUGAAGGGACUUAUCCUCAAGUUCAGAAAUUCUGACUUACAGUUCCUCAAUUCUGCUCCUCUGACUUUCUAUUGUCUACUUCUGUAACUUUUUUAAUCUUCUGAAUUUCUGAUUGGUGUCUGUCUAUGGAUUUUUCCAGCUUAUUAAAUUUUUUAUUGUGUUCCUGAAUAAUCUAAUUUCUUCAAUUGCCUUAUCUGUGUGUUCCUUGGCUUGUUCUGCAUAUUGCCUCAUUUCCUUCCUGAUGUCUUGAAGGGUUCUGUUUAUUAAUCUUUUGUAUUCUGCCUCUGGUAAUUCCAGGAAGGCACUUUCAUCUAGAAGAUCCCUUGAUUCUUUCAAGAGCUUGUUGAAACGAUCAUGGUCUGUUUCUUUACGUGACUUGGUAUUGACUGUUGUCUGUGAGCCAUCUAUAAGUUAUUGUAUUAGUUUAUGUUUGUUUACUGUGUCAUAGCUUCUUGCUUUGUUUAAUUUUGAUAUGCCCAAAUUAGUUGCUUGAGUGAGCUAGUUUGACUAUUUUUGCCUUUGGAGCUCUGACAUCCUACCCUAGAUGGCUAGAGCUGUCAUCAGUUGUAUCAGUCUAGGAGUCCAUUCACUUUUUUUGUAUGAAUUCAGCUCAGGUGUCCAGGUAGCUGAUCAUGAAGUGUGUGGUACAGGCUCUGUCCUAUAGUCUUAGAGGGGCAGGGGUGAUUGGUGUAGGUACUAGUAUCUGGUUGCAGCAGGGGGUCACACUUUGUGAACAAGGUAUGGGGCUGAGACUUGUCUCCCAUGUGUCUGUGAGGAAAGCAUGUCCCUGAUCCCUAGAGCUUACAGGUGGGUGGGGGCUGCAGAUGGACCAUGGGCACCCAAUGUUUUUGGUUGUAAUGGCUGGGAGGUACCAGUUAUCCUUGGACCCUGUCGCGGGAGGGUGGGUGACCUGAGUGGAGCUACCAGUCCUCAAGCCCCCUGAUGUGGGUAGGUGAGGACCCUGUUUAAUAGACAGUGUCAAACACCAAACACCCAACUCUCCUCUGCACCGCUGAUAUGGUUGGAGUCUGCCAACAAGGGCCUGUUCUCCUGAAACAGGCCCACACAGGUCCAUGCAAAGGGGAAAGAUACUCAAAGUCCAUGGACCGUUCAUGCCUGGACAGGAACCGUUUCUGUUUCUGAACUCCCCCAGUUGGUGGAGCUAGAGAAUUAUCCUUUCCCCCAAUUGCAAAUGUAUUCCUUCUCCAAGGCUAGAAGGAUGGCUCCAGGCACUCAACAGGCCCUAUCUCAGGCCCAGGGAAUUCAUCUGCUGAAGCCGGCUUGGGGGUGGGCAGGGGCAGUAAAAUGUGCAAGUACUUAGCUUUUGCCGAGAGCACCGUUCUUCUCUGGUUCCCAAGGUGUGAGUGGGCUUCAUGACUGGCUUCUUUUCCCUUAGGAAACUGCGGCUGAACACUAGUACCAGCCUGACGCCAUUGCUCCGGAAAUGGUGCCUGAGGGUUCCCCGUGAUUCAGAUCUGUACUGAUGUCUGCAGUCGGUCUCAACCCACCUGGAGCAAAGGAGAAUGAAGAACAUGAAAGACACAGGGUAAGUCUGAGCCCAAGAGUCACAAUGAGCCACGUAAAUCAAAGGCUAUAUCAGCCUGAGACCAGAAGAACUAGAUGGUGCCCAGCUACAACCGAUGACUGCCAUGACUGGGAGCACAACAGAGAAUCCCUGAAGGAGCAGGAGAGCAGUGGGAUGCAGACCCCAAAUUCUAGUUAAAAAGAUCAGAUUUAAUGGUGUGACUGAGACCAGAGGGAUCCUGGAUGUCACGGUCCCCAGACCUUCUGAUAGCCCAAAACAGGAACCAUUCUCAAAGCCAACUCUUCAGACAGGGAUUGGACUGGACUACAACUCAGAAAAUGAUACUGGUGAGGGGUGGGCUUCUUGGAUCAAGUAGACACAUGAGACUAUCUGGGCAGCUCCUGUCUGGAGGGGAGAGGUGAAGGCCGAGGGGGAUAGAAGCUGGCUGAACGGGCUCGGAAACACAGGGUGCAGCGAAGGAAUGUGCUGUCUCAUUAGGGGGAGAGCAACUAGGAGUAUACAGCAAGGCAUAUAUAAGGUUUUGUACGAGAGACUGACUCGAUUUGUAAACUUUCACUUAAAGCACAAUAAAAAUUAACAAAAAAAAUUACAUACUGAAUGUCUGAAGUCUGGACUUUGUAUUUUUAUUUCUAUAUGCUUAGUAGUUAAAACAGUGUCUGGCACUUAGUAUGUAUGCUACAAUGUAUUUGUUUAAUAAAUAAAUAUCCUGGGUGAAAUGUUAAAAAAAAAAAAACAAAAACUACUGAUGUCUUGGUAUGUCUGAGGUCAGCAGGAACACUGGUCAGAAUAGUCCCAGCUUUCAUAAGAAAAUACAAUCAGUUUAACCGAGCUGAUGAUUCUUUUGAUAUGAGAAUUAUGUUUGAUUUCAGAAGCAUAAUGAAAAAAAUGCCUAAGAAAACAACUUUGUGUCUAAAACAUGACACAUUUGUUACAUAAGAUUGGAAAAAGUAUAAACGAAAAAAAAAUUUUUUUCAAGAAAGAAUGACCAUGGUUUACAACCCAAAUCUCCCAAUUCAACAUUAAUUUCCUUCUGCGAAAUUUCUGACAGUAAGCAGAAAUUGGGCUGAACAACUGAACAAGUCUACAAAGGGCAAUAUUGCUCUGGUGGGAUUAACUCUGCAGAUUGGUACUUUAUUUAAUAGACAGCAUGGACAUCAUACAAAUCCAUUAUCAGUGCCUUUAAAACCAAAAAAAAAAAACAAAAAACAAAAAAAAAACUUUAAAAGUUAGCAGCAG